UUCUGUUGGUGCAACAUCUUGCAGAUCACAGAAAGAUUUUUCUAUUUUCUCAUUUUCCAAUAAUGAACACGAAAACCAUUUCCCAGAUAUCUUAAUCUGCCACAAGUACGGAAAGCCAGAUGGCAGGUGAUGUCUUUUACAGGAUGCAAAUGUACAUUUAUUUUUCGAAACAAAUACACAGAUUCUGGUACUUUCUGUUUCAUCUGUCAAUAAAGAAGAAUCAGUUUCUUGAUAAUCUGGAUCAGAUGGGGAUGGUGCUGAAUCUAAUUUCACAUCAUCCUGUUGUGGUAUAGAACUUCUUGCCUGUUGUUGAUUCCACUGUUCCAUUAGUAAUCUCUCUCUUUCAAUAAUAUUGUCGUCAUUAUUAUGUUUUUGUUGCUGUUCUUUUUUCCAAUUUUCCAUCUGAAUUCUCUCUUUCUCCUUUAUGUCAUCAUCAUCAAGUAAGUUUUGAUGGAUAUCUUUUGAGUUUUUAUCAUUGCCUUGUUUCUCACCUUUCUGGUUUUCCAUCAUUUUGUCCUCUUUUUCUUCUUCAUUACAUUGCUGUUGAUUCUUUUUUAAUGUGUCAUCCUCAUAGUCUUGCUGAACUUGUUCACUGUUUUCCAUAGUUAUCUUCUCUUCCUCAAUUAUUUUGUCAUCAUCUCCAUCACCAUCAUCAUUAGGGCCAUUAUCAUCACCAAUUUCAUUAUUAUUAUCAUUGUCUUCAGCAUUAUUUUCAUAAUCAUAAUCACCAUACUCAUGAUCAUAAUCUCCACCCUCAUUGACAUCAUAGUUAUAAUCAUUUUCAUCAUAAUCAUAAUCAUUGCCAUCAUAAUUAUCUUGAUAAUCAUCAUUAUCUCCAUAAUCAAAACCAUCAUCUAACUCAUUACCAUCACCAUUUCCUUGAUGAACCUGGGUCUGAUCUUCCGUUAAUAUCAUUUCUUUCUCUCCAGGACCACUUUCAACAUUCAUAUCACCAUUAUCAUCCUCGUCAUUACCAUCACCAUAAUAAUCAUAAUCAUCAUCAUCAUCAUCAUUAUCAUCACCAUUACCAUCACCAUAAUCAUCAUUACCGUCACCAUAAUUGUUAUAAUCAACUUUACGAUCACAAAAAUUCUCUGUAUCAACUUUAUUAUCACCGUAAUCAUCAUCAACGCUACCAUCACCAUAAUCAUCUUCAUCAUCAUAACUACUUUCUGUUUCAACCAUUUCUGUUAAAUCUUGAUCAUCUUUACCCACAAUUCCACAUGUGAUAUUUUCCAAUGAUCUAAACCUUUCUUUACGAUCAUGCGUUGACCUUGUCCCUUCCUUGUUGUAAUCAAUACUAAGGUUUUCAACUGAAUGUAAAUUUUUAUUUUUUGCAGGACCCGAUGCAGAACUAGAAAGACUUUCAUUGCUGACAUAGACAUCACUGUCAUAAUCAAAAACGCUAGACUCCUCAAGGUCAUGAAGGUCGUCUUCAUCAUGACUCAGGUCAGAAUCAUCUGAAUAAUUAUCAUUCUCUUUCUUUUCUCUAGCAGGUACAUAUAUAGCCUUGAGGACUUUAGCAGGAGGCCAGUCUUUCAUAUGACAUGAUGUAAGAACCCAUUUAUUGUGAAACUGAUUAAUGGUGUGUGUUCUAUUAAAUUUGCAAGGAUCUGGACAUUUUCCGAAUAUUUUCUGGCGACAUAAGUGUAAAUGAGGACAUUUUCUUUCUGGGUUAUCGACCUUACAACCAUUGUUGUAAAUAUAAUCUGCACAAACUGAAGGUGAAUUGCAAUUUAGGACAAUUUUCAUUUCAUCAUCACUAAAAUUGACAAUUCCAAGUUUGUUUUUCAAACGAUAAUUGUGAGGACCUCUAAAACUAUGAGACAGUGGACAAUCUUUCUCUUGACAGUUGCCUCUAAUGAAGCGACGACAGAUGUGAAAAUAAUCCCAAUGAGCAUUUUGACAUUCUGCAGGAUUUUUCUUGCUGUUCCACUCAGCACAAAUUUUAGCAUCUCUGUAAAAUGGUUGAAGAUAAACAAUAUCUUUUUUAUCCCAGAAAAUAUGAAAUCUUCUAUUGUUUUUUCUG
rnacentral:lncRNA from 1 species